rnacentral:lncRNA from 1 species
CGCGGAUCGAGAGAGAGCCAUGAUCUUCUCCCUGCCCAUUCCACACUGUCGGCAUGUGACUUUUCUUACACCCUUUCACGCCUGGGCCCUCACAUGUGCCUGGAAAUGCAAACAACUUUCCUCUCUGAGCCAGUCACAGGAAGGAUGCAGCCAGGAAGACCAGUGAGGCUACCUUUCCACAGUACUGGGAACAUCUCCGCUGAAAACCCAUCAUGGUUCUGGGUCAAAAGCAGCACGGAAACAAGUGGAAUUGCCUGCAGACUCAUUCUGAAUAAAGGGUGGGUCCACAUGGAGAAGGCUGCAUCCAGAUGUGCUUGUGAUUGGCUCUGCUUCUAAAGUGUGGAUGCUAUUUUGAGAAGGCUGUUGUAGAUACAGUAUCUCCAGAUCUUACAUCUCAACUUUAAGCCCACUGGAAGAACUAAUUGCACCACUCUUGUGCCUAUAAUCUUUCCUACAUGAGCUGGUUUCCUAUUUGCCCUUCUGUGUCAUCAUCCAGCCUGGGAAUGCCAGAGAAACGAGAACCGCUAGCAACAUUCAACAGGCAGUGAGUAAUAUUCUCAGUGUUUGUUUUAUGGAAAUGUUAAUGUACCCUGAGAUGUUAUAAGACAUUUUUGGAAAUGAGGAGUUUUAUGGCCAAAUGAACUAAAUAGUUAUUGUUUGUAUUAUUGUUUCUGCAGGAUUUUCCAGAACAUUUAAUAGGCUAGUGUGCACAGUCAGUUUCCAAGAGCACGAUAGAGGAUUUGGGGCUUCGCAAGCAUUUUUCCUUACAGCCUUCCUUCAGCACAGUUUUCCAUGGAACAUCAUUUGGGAAAUUUUUCACCAGUGUAAUUGUUAACUCUGUUGCAUAUGCUGAGUCCCAUUGGUUUGUGAGUUUUUAUAAGUGUGUGCUCCAAGCACCAAAUUACUUCUGGAUCUAGGCUCUGGGUUCUUGGAAAGAAUUUCCCUGAAAUGCCCUCUAAGAAAGCCAACAUGAUAU